UACGUAGGUGGCAAGCGUUGUUCGGAAUUAUUGGGCGUAAAGGGCGCGUAGGCGGCCUGUUAAGUCAGCUGUGAAAGCCCGGGGCUCAACCCCGGAGGGUCAGCUGAUACUGGCAGGCUAGAGUACGGAAGAGGUAGCUGGAAUUCCCGGUGUAGCGGUGAAAUGCGUAGAGAUUGGGAAGAACAUCAGUGGCGAAAGCGCUCUACUGGACCUUAUCUGACAGUGAGGGACGAAAGCUAGGGGAGCGAAUGGG
rnacentral:rRNA from 1 species